rnacentral:rRNA from 1 species
UUGAGGAAUUUUCCGCAAUGGGCGAAAGCCUGACGGAGCAAUGCCGCGUGAAGGAUGAAGGCCUAUGGGUUGUAAACUUCUUUUCUCAGAAAAGAAUUAUGACGGUAUCUGAGGAAUAAGCAUCGGCUAACUCUGUGCCAGCAGCCGCGGUAAGACAGAGGAUGCAAGCGUUAUCCGGAAUGAUUGGGCGUAAAGCGUCUGUAGGUUGUUUAAAAAGUAUUCUGUCAAAGAUUAGGGCUUAACCCUAGAUAGGCAGAAUAAACUUUUAAGCUAGAGUUUGGUAGAGGCAGAGGGAAUUCCCGGUGGAGCGGUGAAAUGCGUAGAUAUCGGGAGGAACACCAAAGGCGAAGGCACUCUGCUGGGCCAAUACUAACACUGAGAGACGAAAGCGAGGGGAGCAAAUGGGAUUAGAAACCCCGGUAGUCC